GACGAACGCUGGCGGCGUGCUUAACACAUGCAAGUCGAACGGGCCCGCUCCCUUUUUUGGGGGUGGGUUGAGUGGCGGACGGGUGAGUAUCACGUGAGUAACCUGCCCCCUGCUCCUGGAUAACUGCUUGAAAGGGCGGCUAAUACGGGGUGUGCCGGCUGGUCCGCAUGGGCCUGGUCGGGAUAGUUUCAUCUUCGGGUGUUUCGGUGGGGGAUGGGCUCGCGGCCUAUCAGCUUGUUGGUGGGGUGAUGGCCCACCAAGGCGGUGACGGGUAGCCGGCCUGAGAGGGUGGGCGGCCACACUGGGACUGAGACACGGCCCAGACUCCUGCGGGAGGCAGCAGUGGGGGGUAUUGCACAAUGGGCGGAAGCCUGAUGCAGCGACGUCGCGUGAGGGAUGGAGGCCUUCGGGUUGUGAACCUCUUUCUCCGGUGGUGAAGGCCCUGUCCGUUGCGGCGGGGUUGACGGUAGCCGGGUAUGAAGCGCCGGCUAACUACGU
rnacentral:rRNA from 1 species